rnacentral:lncRNA from 1 species
GUUCUGGCUGCUACCUGUUUUAGGGACCGUCAACAAGUUACACAUACCGACUGGUGGCAGAGACGUUUCUGGAAAUAAAUCAUAUAAAAUAAUAUAAAAAUCACUAAAAAAUACAUUUUGUCACCUGAUUGUAGUAGUAGUUGCCAAUGGUGGUCUGCUACUUACUGCAGGUAACUUUGCUAAUAUAUUGCAUUAUUGUUAAACGGAAUGCAAUUAAUAAUUUCAAAUAUAGUUUAGUCGAUUUUUUUUCGAAUAUUAAACUAUUAACUGCAUUAUGAUUAACUAUAUUGCAAUAUAUUUGUGUGAUUAAUUUCCUGAAACAAUUCCAUGGUAACGUCUCUGCCACCUAUCGGUGAGUGUAAUUUGUUGACGGUCCCUAAAACAGGUAGCAGCCAGAACGUAAAUGACGUUGUUGCACAGACAUCGAUGGCGCCAACAUGUGUUUGUGAUUUUUCGCGAUACGGUGUCCUAAACCGUCCUCAACAUACUAAGCCCUAUGGAAGGGGAGAUUUGGAGGUACCUGGUCAGGUCUUGGUCAGCCUUCAAAUCCCAGAUGUGGAGACUGCAGGGAUACCUCACAGAGAAGACACUAAAGAGUCAUCUCUCAUUCAUCGAGUGGACUCAUUGGUUUGCGAAUGACCACAAAGAUGCUCCCAUAGGCAGAUUGCUGCAUGGCAUUCACCACUUAUUCAAAUUGAAGAGGUUGAAGCAGUCUUCCUUGUGGUCACUUGCCAUAACACUCUCAUGUGUUUUAUGAAAACACCAUCAGUAACAUUUAAAUUGAGUUGAUGCAGACGGCUCUUUUUUUUGUCUGAUUUCUUCAGUGUUCAGUGCUUGUUUGUGAGAUAUGCAUUGUUUGAAAGAUAAGCCCUUGAUUUUGUUUAAUUUUAAUAUGCCUUUCAUCAACAGUGGAUUGGGGUUUUAUAACAACAAUUAAAGUGCUUAACUACUGGUGAACGAUGUUGCAGAACAUAUAUGGUUUGUGUUGAUUGCAUGGAGAAGGGAAUAACCAGUUACAACUUGUAUGGUAAGAGCCUGGUAAUACCAUGGAAACAAACGAGGCUUCCUUUUACAGUACAGUUUCAGCUAACUUACUGGGUAAAUUGUCGUGUUUUACUUGGUAACGUCGCAGAACGUACAUGGUACAAGUUUGUGUUGACUGCAUGGAAAAGGGAAUAAUGUAUUACAAAUUAUAUGUUAAGAACCU